rnacentral:rRNA from 1 species
UUCUGGCUCAGGACGAACGCUGGCGGCGUGCUUAACACAUGCAAGUCGAACGGGAGUAUUGAAGAAGCUUGCUUAGAGAUACUUAGUGGCGGACGGGUGAGUAACGCGUGAGGAGCUGUCCUAUGCAGGGGGACAACAGCUGGAAACGGCUGCUAAUACCCCAUAAGCCGAGAGGUAAAAGGAUCAAUCCGGCAGAGGAGGUACUCGCGUCCUAUCAGCUAGUAGGUGAGGUAACGGCUCACCUAGGCGAAGACGGGUAGCCGGCCUGAGAGGGCGAACGGCCACACUGGAACUGAGAUACGGUCCAGACUCCUACGGGAGGCAGCAGUGGGGAAUAUUGGGCAAUGGGGGAAACCCUGACCCAGCGACGCCGCGUGGGUGAAGAAAUCCUUCGGGAUGUAAAGCCCUGUUGUAUGGGAAGAGCGGAAGACGGUACCAUACGAGGAAGCCCCGGCAAACUACGUGCCAGCAGCGGC